GACGAACGCUGGCGGCGUGCUUAACACAUGCAAGUCGAACGGAAAGGCCUGCUUUCCCUUGUGGAAUGCGGGUACUCGAGUGGCGAACGGGUGAGUAACACGGGAGUGAUCUGCGGCCAACUUGGGUAUAAGCCUGGGAAACUGGGUCUAAUUACCGAUAGGACUGCAGGGUGGUGCCUGUGGUGGAAAACGAGUUUCUAGUGGUGGGGGAUCAGCUCGCGGCGGAUAAGCUUGUUGGUGGGGUAAUGGCCUACCACGGAGACGACGGGUAGCCGGCCGGAGAGGAGGAUCAGCCACACUGGGACUGAGACACGGCCCAGACUCCUACGGGAGGCAGCAGUGGGGAAUAUUGGACAAUGGGCGCAAGCCUGAUCCAGCCAGGCCGCGUGAGUGAUGAAGGCCUUAGGGUUGUAAAGCUCUUUUGUCCGGGACGAUAAUGACGGUACCGGAAGAAUAAGCCCCGGCUAACUUCGUG
rnacentral:rRNA from 1 species